rnacentral:sRNA from 1 species
GCCAGUCAUGGUGGUGUAUGCCUGUAAUCCUACUGCUUUAGAGGCUGAGGCAGGAGGAUUGCAAGUUUGAGGUCAGCCUCAGCAACUUAUCAAGGUCCUAAGUGACUCAGCAAGAUCCUGCCUCUA